rnacentral:rRNA from 1 species
ACGGAGGAUGCAAGCGUUAUCCGGAUUCAUUGGGUUUAAAGGGUGCGCAGGUGGGAAUGUAAGUCAGUGGUGAAAUACUGCCGCUUAACGGUAGAGCUGCCAUUGAUACUGCGUUUCUUGAGUAUGGUUGAGGUAGGUGGAAUGUGUUGUGUAGCGGUGAAAUGCAUAGAUAUGACACAGAACGCCGAUUGCGAAGGCAACUUACUAAGCCAUUACUGACGCUGAGGCACGAAAGCGUGGGUAGCGAACAGGAUUAGAUACCCUGGUAGUCCACGCUGUAAACGAUGUUCACUCGCUGUUUGCGAUACACAGUAAGCGGCUGAGCGAAAGCAUUAAGUGAACCACCUGGGGAGUACGAUCGCAAGGUUG